CACGUAGGGAGCAAGCGUUGUCCGGAUUUAUUGGGCGUAAAGAGCUCGUAGGCUGUUCGAUAAGUCGGGUGUGGAACCUCCAGGCUCAACCUGGAGACGCCACCCGAUACUGUCAUGACUAGAGUCCGGUAGGGGAGCGUGGAAUUCCUGGUGUAGCGGUGAAAUGCGCAGAUAUCAGGAGGAACACCCGUGGCGAAGGCGGCUCUCUGGGACGGUACUGACGCUGAGACGCGAAAGCGUGGGGAGCGAACAGG
rnacentral:rRNA from 1 species